CAACAACUUCCCAAGUCUCAUUCUGGACUAGUGCCUCAAUCUCCUUCUGUAUUGCUUUUUGCCAUCCUGGGUGAUGAGCUGCUUGGCUGAAGAGCUGUUGGUUCCCUAUUUUCCCAUCUGUACUUGCUGAAGGAGUUGUAGGAUCUGGCUAAUAUUUUCUUGAGUAAGUGACUUGAUCCCCGCAGUCUGUACUGCAUUUUGUUCAGUGCUGAAAGCAUUGUUACCUUGAACUGACCCUUGGUAUUUUCUUUGAUUUGUGAACUUGAAAUCUGAGGGAAAUCCAACAAGCACGUAGCAUUAUUCCACAACAUGACCUGGCUUCUUGCAGUAUGAACAACAAUAAAUGAAGUUGAUUCUCCAGGAUAAACAGGAGAAAUAUGUAUUUCUCUUUAACCAUAGAGUAAGCUUGGCCAAGAGAAGGUAAGGAGGAAGUCAAUAGUAUGUUGAUUCUCACACCUAUGUAGGUGUCAUUCAGGCCCAUUAAAAAUUGCAGCAGUCUCUGGUCUUGGUGCAUUUUCAGAUUUUUUCUUUUAGCUCCACAUACACAUUCACAUGAACAAGUAAAAAAAUUGGUCAAGAUCUUUUGUACUGUAUGAGUACAGAACACUUUCUGUAAUUUCUUUUGAUAGAGAGUUAAGGAGCCAAGACAACACCAUGUCAUUUCCUCUAGCCCAAGCACUUUGAAGACUAGAGUUUUCAUCUGGAAUGGAAAAAGUUCCAUCUAUGAAACCUAGUUUAUUCUUGGCAGAAAGAGCUAUGACUACUGCUCUACGCCAAGCUCCAUAGCUUUUGCCAUCAAAAGUUGAGGAAACAAGAUUCAUGCUUGGGUAGUCUAAAGGAUGAAGAAAGAAAGAGUGUGUUGAAUCAAUCACACCUUUCUUGGUUGAAUCAGUUGUUGCAGCUACAACUUCUGUUGUUUCUCCCAUUAUAAGGAAUAGAGCAAACUUGAAAAAUGAAUAAGGGUUUCAAAUAUUAGGUUGGUCGACCUGCUCUUGAUACCAUGUAAAAAAUCGAAAAUUUUGAACCCAAUAUGAAUUAGUGUGUAUUGUCUUGAAAAAGAAAUAUAUGUACAAUGUAGCUAAUUUAUUCAAUUUACUCUAUGUAUUACUCCCA